GAUGAACGCUGGCGGCGUGCCUAAUACAUGCAAGUCGAGCGAACGGACGAGAAGCUUGCUUCUCUGAUGUUAGCGGCGGACGGGUGAGUAACACGUGGAUAACCUACCUAUAAGACUGGGAUAACUUCGGGAAACCGGAGCUAAUACCGGAUAAUAUUUUGAACCGCAUGGUUCAAAAGUGAAAGACGGUCUUGCUGUCACUUAUAGAUGGAUCCGCGCUGCAUUAGCUAGUUGGUAAGGUAACGGCUUACCAAGGCAACGAUGCAUAGCCGACCUGAGAGUGUGAUCGGCCAAACUGGAACUGAUAGACGGACCAGACUCCUACGGGAGGCAGCAGUAGGGAAUCUUCCGCAAUGGGCGAAAGCCUGACGGAGCAACGCCGCGUGAGUGAUGAAGGUCUUCGGAUCGUAAAACUCUGUUAUUAGGGAAGAACAUAUGUGUAAGUAACUGUGCACAUCUUGACGGUACCUAAUCAGAAAGCCACGGCUAACUACGUG
rnacentral:rRNA from 1 species